rfam:Sclerotinia sclerotiorum 1980 scaffold_10 genomic scaffold, whole genome shotgun sequence.
AUCUUAGUGCAUGGGUUUUACGCAUAUCAGUGAGGAUUCGUCCGAGAUUGCGUUUUUGCUAGUUGAAAACUAUAACCAUGACCACUCCAGGUUGGCUUCGGCUGGCCUGGGAAUCUUUGGAACCAAAACAUCUUC